UGUUUUUUAUUGCCAAAUAAAAGCAAUUUUUCAAUAAAAAACUGGUGAAAUGUGCUCAAAAGUGUCGAACUCAGUAACCAUGAUGAGGAGCUUCAGUGUUCUCUCCUGAGCGUGAAAAGUGUGCUCGGUGCUGCUUUACAGUAGCUGCCUUGUACAGUUGAUGAUCGUUCCUCUCUUCAUAAUGGAGAGAUGGAGGGAGAGAACAUAAGCUAAGUGGU
rnacentral:snoRNA from 1 species